AAAGGAAGCAGACAAAAACCUCUGCGCUCCUGGGGUUUACAUUGUGGCCGGGGGAGGGAGGAGGCGGAAAAAACAGAAAGCGUAAGAAAUAAGUUAUGUGUUAUUGAAGGUGAGAAGGACCACCGGAAGGACAACCCAGGCUAAGACGUACGAAGAGUUCGGGAGGGCGCUGGGCGGCCCGUGGUGGUUCUAAGUCUCAUGGCGAAAAACGUAAAUGGGCACAGACUCAAGUGAGAGAAAGCUUACCACCCCUGGCCGAGAAGCCACAAGGGCAAGUAUCAUCUUAUAAAGCACCGGCUUCGGGUGAGACCUCCACGUCACCUUGGGGCAAGGGGAGGCUACGAAAGCACCGAGAGGGCCAGGUAACCUGAGGAUUGAGGGGUCUGGAGCACACGUACCCAGACGACCCAUUCUAGGCUGCCGGGUCCCGCUCUUCUUUACGGCGCCUUGACUUUGGCACCGGCUACUUGCUGGGGCCGUAACGUCAGACCUCACCACGCGUUUUAUCAGGUCCAAAGCCACAUGUACAGUGGGAUGUGCCAUCCAGCCCCGGCCGGCGACAGCCCUUUUACGUGCUACCACAGAGGGCUUCUGCCUUCCAAUCUGGUGCCCUCGUCAAUGGUUUUCUGACUUGGGUCUGCCGUUGUCUUGCUGCCCCCUGGGUUUCUGGGAAACCCCGUAGCCCCAGGCAAACCAGACCUGUUGGCCACCCUCGCUGUGGUGUCGCCGAGGUAGUAAUUGCAGGAAGCGACCAAGACCCCAAGACUGGGGGAUCAUGGGGAAGGGUUUUGUCUGGGCAGGGGGCACCCCUACUGAGGGGGGGGUCACGAAACGGGUUACGGGAAAAACCAUUAACUGGAACCACCUGUAGCUAUCGGAACCGACUUCAUCUCCAGAACGAAGAAUCAUCGCUGAGCGACCCUGGCAGCGAUGGGAAGCAGCAAGUCCCUUCUUCCUCGUCCAGCCCCCUGUUUCCCUCCAGCGUCCCACGGCGCCCCAGAGCCUAAUUCCACCCAGGCGGCGUGGAAAUGGAAUGUUGAGAGUCCCAGCUGCAGCAUCACAGGGCACAGAAGGUCACCUCCCCCCUGGGGACACGGCUGCAGGUGCCAAAUAACCAGCACGCGUCCCGGGUAUUCACAGAAGGGGGUCUUCAUGAUGGGCUACAGCAUGCCAGGGGGGAUCACCACCCCUUCCCUGCCAAGACCCGGGUCCUCGUCGCCAUCUACUAACAAAUAAAUGACCCAAGACACAGGAUCUGCUGUCCGGACCUCGUAAUACCAAGUGUCUUCGUUUGGACUCCCCAGAUCUGAUCCCAUAGCAAGGGUUUGAGUGCAAGUGGUUUAUCUGGGAGGUGGGGGGACAAAUAAAGGGUGUGUUAUCGGCCAGCCACCCCCAUGGGUGGCUGCGGGGAAGCUUUGGCCUCCAGGGCCACAGCGGGUCCCUCUUAGGCUCUCGCGCUUGGGGAGGGGUUCACUGCACCGGCGCCACAGCUCUCCGCAAAGUGGCUGUUGAUGGCACACGGUGACAACCACCGAUCAGGCAGGAGGAGAAACAGGUGAGGUCUGUGGUCCCCAUGAGCGAGAUACCUGAGAGACCCAGUAAAUAAGAAUAUGGCAGGUGGGAGGGGGCUGUGGUAUUUCCGUGCAGGGUUUGAGGACUGGUCCUGUCCUGCCUCACCUGGGGCCCAAGUGACCUUCUGUGGCUGCAGAGAAAGGCCUCGGGCAAUGAGACACAGCUGGAAGUCGGCUGGAGCACCCCUAGAGCGGAGGGUGCAGGCAGAGCACCCACAGCUUCUGCUCCAGGGAGGCAGGAAGAACGGACAGCCGGGGGCUCAGCAAGACGAAAAAUUCACCCUCCUCGGGCCUGGGGCUCGCUGCUAACGCGCCGCACGGGGGGCACCUCCUCACAAGCCAUGGAACUUGCCCUAUUGUUAUUGUCAUUUUGCAGAUGAGAAAACCGGGGCUCCCAAAGGUCUGGCAACUCGCCCACAGCAGUGGCCAACGCGGGCUGAGGUCCUAGGGCUCAUUGUGGAAUAAUUAAAACACGCACAAAAGCAAAGAGAAAAGGAAAAUCAACCCCUACGAGCGCAUCACUCAGCUGCGGUCAUGAUUACUCAACCACUCUCGUUUCGCCCACACACUCCCCGGAUCCCUGGAUUAUUUAGACCGUAUCACUGUGGUGCUCUUCUAAAAGUAUCGAUUCCUAAGCUACUCCCUCUGAAUUUUCUGAUUCAGUAAGUCAGGACUGGGGUCUGAGAAUCUGUAUGUUUUUAUCAGUUCCUCGGGUUUCGGAAGCUAUAGUAUAAAGAAACGAACACGGGUUCUACAGCAGGCAGGUCCUAGUAUGAGUCCUGGCUUUGCCCAAGCUAUGCAACUUUGGGUGAAAAUUCAGUUUUCAGGCUUUUUGUCUCGAAGAACCACCACCUCUGUCAACCUGUGGUCUACUGAGACCGUCUGAUCCUUUUCACGUUAAAUAAAUGCUAUCAAACCUA